UACGAAGGGGGCUAGCGUUGUUCGGAAUUACUGGGCGUAAAGCGCACGUAGGCGGGCGAUUAAGUCAGGGGUGAAAUCCCGGAGCUCAACUCCGGAACUGCCUUUGAUACUGGUCGUCUAGAGAUCGGAAGAGGUGAGUGGAAUUCCGAGUGUAGAGGUGAAAUUCGUAGAUAUUCGGAAGAACACCAGUGGCGAAGGCGACUCACUGGACACAUAUUGACGCUGAGGUGCGAAAGCGUGGGGAGCAAACAGG
rnacentral:rRNA from 1 species